CCUACGGGAGGCAGCAGUGAGGAAUAUUGGUCAAUGGUCGGGAGACUGAACCAGCCAAGCCGCGUGAGGGAGGAAGGUACAGAGUAUCGUAAACCUCUUUUGUCAGGGAACAAAGACUGGGACGCGUCCCCGGAUGAGUGUACCUGAAGAAAAAGCAUCGGCAAACUCCGUGCCAGCAGCCGCGGUAAUACGGAGUAUGCGAGCGUUAUCCGGAUUUAUUGGGUUAAAGGGGUGCGCGGGCGGUCUGUUAAGUCAGCGGCCAAAGCCCGGGGCUCAACCCCGGCCCGCCGUUGAAACUGGCAGUCUCGAGUUGGAGAGAAGUAUGCGGAAUGCGAGGUGUAGCGGUGAAAUGCAUAGAUAUCGCGAAGAACUCCGAUUGCGAAGGCAGCAUGCCGGCUCCACACUGACGCUGAGGCACGAAAGCGUGGGUAUCGAACAGGAGUAGAUACCCCAGUAGUC
rnacentral:rRNA from 1 species